GAUGAACGCUGGCGGCGUGCCUAAUACAUGCAAGUCGAGCGAACAGACGAGGAGUUUGUUCCCCUGAUGUUUGCGGCGGACGGGUGAGUAACACGUGGAUAACCUAUCUAUACGACUGGGAUAAAUUCGGGAAAACGGCGCUAAUAGCGGAUAAUAUAUUGAACCGGAUGGUUCAAUAGUGAGAGACGGUUUUGCUGUUACUUAUAGAUGGAUCCGUGUCGUAUUAGCUGGUUGGUAAGGUAAAGGCUUACGAAGGCAACGAUGCGUAGCCGACCUGAGGGGGUGAUCGGCCACACUGGAACUGAGACACGGUCCAGACUCCUACGGGGGGCAGCAGUAGGGAAUCUUCCGCAAUGGGCGAAAUCCUAACGGAGCAACGCCGCUGGAGUAAUGAAGGUCUUCGGAUCGUAAAACUCUGUUAUUAGGGAAGAACAAAUGGGUAAGUAACUAUGCACAUCUUGACGGUACCUAAUCAGAAAGCCACGGCUAACUACGUG
rnacentral:rRNA from 1 species